rnacentral:sRNA from 1 species
AAACAUUCCGUCCCUGUAUCAAACAAACUAUGAGGGUCUAUUCAUGUCUCAAUUUUGUUUUUUCUAUUAAAUUCUAUUUUCCUAUAUUGUUUUAUUCUAAAAUUAUUUACAAGAACUAUAUAUAUAUUUUAAAACUCAUCAUCUUCAUUGAUUAUUAGAAUUGUGUGUUUUGCUGUUAAUCCCAAAAACAUUUAUUCACUGCUAAAGUAAAUACAAAUGUAAUGUAUACAAACACUGGAACUUUCUAUUUCAUUUGAUGAAAUGAUCAUAUGCAAUUUCUGACUUAUUAAUGCAGUCUUCCUACUACUGUUUUAUUCUACAAUGUAAUUCUUGAUGACUGCUGUUGAAUCAUCUUUGCCUAUCUGUCCAUAGUCUUGUUGUUUGAUACUGUUGGCUGUGAAUAAAACAUACACAAAUUU